rnacentral:rRNA from 1 species
GAUGAACGCUGGCGGCGUGCUUAACACAUGCAAGUCGAGCGAGGGAGUCUCUUCGGAGAUGAACUAGCGGCGGACGGGUGAGUAACACGUGGGCAACCUGCCUUACAGAGGGGGAUAGCCUUCCGAAAGGAAGAUUAAUACCGCAUAUUAUGAGUUUUCUGCAUGGGGAAUUCAUGAAAGGAGCAAUCCGCUGUAAGAUGGGCCCGCGGCGCAUUAGCUAGUUGUGAGGUAAGGCUCACCAAGGCGACGAUGCGUAGCCGACCUGAGAGGGUGAUCGGCCACAUUGGGACUGAGACACGGCCCAG